rnacentral:rRNA from 1 species
UACGUAGGGGGCUAGCGUUGUCCGGAAUCAUUGGGCGUAAAGCGCGUGUAGGCGGUCCGGUAAGUCCGCUGUGAAAGUCGGGGGGCUCAACCCUCGAAUGCCGGUGGAUACUGUCGGGCUAGAGUGCGGAAGAGGCGAGUGGAAUUCCUGGUGUAGCGGUGAAAUGCGCAGAUAUCAGGAGGAACACCAAUGGCGAAAGCAGCUCUCUGGGACGGUACUGACGCUGAGACGCGAAAGCGUGGGGAGCGAACAGG